UCAGAAGUGCGAAUGCUGACAUAAGUAACGAUAAAGCGGGUGAAAAGCCCGCUCGCCGGAAGACCAAGGGUUCCUGUCCAACGUUAAUCGGGGCAGGGUGAGUCGACCCCUAAGGCGAGGCCGAAAGGCGUAGUCGAUGGGAAACAGGUUAAUAUUCCUGUACUUGGUGUUACUGCGAAGGGGGGACGGAGAAGGCUAUGUUGGCCGGGCGACGGUUGUCCCGGUUUAAGCGUGUAGGCUGGUUUUCCAGGCAAAUCCGGAAAAUCAAGGCUGAGGCGUGAUGACGAGGCACUACGGUGCUGAAGCAACAAAUGCCCUGCUUCCAGGAAAAGCCUCUAAGCAUCAGGUAACAUCAAAUCGUACCCCAAACCGACACAGGUGGUCAGGUAGAGAAUACCAAGGCGCUUGAGAGAACUCGGGUGAAGGAACUAGGCAAAAUGGUGCCGUAACUUCGGGAGAAGGCACGCUGAUAUGUAGGUGAAGCGACUUGCUCGUGGAGCUGAAAUCAGUCGAAGAUACCAGCUGGCUGCAACUGUUUAUUAAAAACACAGCACUGUGCAAACACGAAAGUGGACGUAUACGGUGUGACGCCUGCCCGGUGCCGGA
rnacentral:rRNA from 1 species